rnacentral:sRNA from 1 species
ACACACCGAAAGGAGGUGAUCCGGCGAAUGUAUGGAAACCGGACGCGUGAGGUGGCUGCGGGCUAGCGCCCGUCACCCACUCUGUGCGGUGCCGGAUCAGCACGCGGACGUAGCGUGCAGCCGGCCCAAUCCCAAGCAGUCACCCGACCCGCGAGUCGCCGGUACGUCCGGCCGGCUCCUCCCCGGAGGAACCAGACUCGCGGGUCGUCUGCG